GCCAGGUGUGGGGUCGCACACUUGUAAUCCUAGUGACUAGGGAGGCUGAGGCAGGAGGAUCACCAGUUUGAAGCCAGACUUAGCAAUUUCGAGAGGCCCUAAGCAAGUUAGUGAGACCCUGUCUCCA
rnacentral:sRNA from 1 species